rnacentral:rRNA from 1 species
UACGAAGGGGGCUAGCGUUGCUCGGAAUUACUGGGCGUAAAGCGCACGUAGGCGGCUCUUUAAGUCGGGGGUGAAAUCCUGGAGCUCAACUCCAGAACUGCCUUCGAUACUGGAGAGCUCGAGUCCGGGAGAGGUGAGUGGAACUGCGAGUGUAGAGGUGAAAUUCGUAGAUAUCAGGAGGAACACCGGUGGCGAAGGCGGGUCUCUGGGCGAUACUGACGCUGAGGAGCGAAAGCGUGGGGAGCGAACAGG